GCAAUAGUGAUUCAGUGGCAGAAUUCUCACCUUCCAUGUUGGAGACCUGGGUUCGAUUCCCAGCCAGUGCA
rnacentral:tRNA from 1 species